rnacentral:rRNA from 1 species
ACAGAGGUCUCAAGCGUUGUUCGGAUUCAUUGGGCGUAAAGGGUGCGUAGGUGGCGGGGUAAGUUGGAUGUGAAAUCCCCGGGCUUAACCUGGGAACUGCGUUUGAAACUACAAGGCUAGAGUGUGGCAGAGGGGGGUGGAAUUCCACGUGUAGCAGUGAAAUGCGUAGAGAUGUGGAGGAACACCGAUGGCGAAGGCAGCCCCCUGGGUUAACACUGACGCUCAGGCACGAAAGCGUGGGGAGCAAACAGGA